ensembl:lncRNA novel transcript
UAAUACCAGGCAGAGUUGUGAAGACAAAGAAAUAGAAGACAAGUCCAUGAUCUCCUAGAGCUUCUCUCUUGGUUUAAGAGACAAGAAAAAGUUACUUGAACACAUAUGAUGAAUGCAAAUCAUGUAAAUGAAUCCUAAAACAUGGUGGGAGCAGUCCCACCAGGAAGUGCAGGAGUGGAGAGGCCCUGACAUCACAGGGGAGCCAUGGUGGGGGCUUCAUGAAGGAGCAAUCUGAGAGGCCUGAAGGCCAGCAAGCAGCCUGAGAAGGGCAUCGCAGCUGUUGGAAGAGAAAGGGCUGGCUGGACAGAGCUCAGCUCGUGCUUGAGGAGGGAGCAAGGAGUCAAGUGUGCUGAUGUCCUGAUUUGGAAAAUACUGAGAUGGUGAGAAACAAAGCUGGCCAGCUGGUGGGGCCACAGCAUGGAGGUCCUCAAAUACUCGGAUGCAGAGUUUGAACCGAUAUUCUUAUCUGUGCUGAAUUACGACUGGUCAAAGUGUACACUACAAAAUUCUUAAUGCUUCAGCAAUCUUUACUAACCACUUUUUUUCUUCUACUUGUAAAGCCAAAGAGGGACAAGAAAGGGCUAGAGGAAUGUCUCUAGAAUCAAAGUCAAGACCUCCAGAUUCUAGUACUACCUGUGUUGCUACUUAAUUAUAUGAACUUGUGCAAAUCUUGUUAUUCAUCUGUAGUUUAACUUUGCAUUUGCAACACGAGAUGGUAAAACCGAUACAUAACUCAGUAUUUCUUUAAAAAAAAAUGGAAACAAUAAAUGCACAAAACCCAAAAGUUAGCAUUUAGGGAUAUCAAGACUACUGUUGUCAUCACUGUGAUUCUGCAAGUUCUCCAGAAAAAUUCACGUUAGGACAUAUAGAUGCAGGGCUACCUUCAGCCAUCCAUCCAUUCAACUCUGCCCCAGGCGCCCAAACUGCACGCUUUGUGGAGCUUAUAUUCUAACGGGGAAGUAUAAUUGGUUGCUAGGGCUGCCAUAGCACUGCAGACUGGGUGGUUUAAAUAACAGAAUUUUAUUUUUUACAAUUCUGGAGGCCAGAAGUUUGAGAUCAAGGUGUCAGCAGGGUUGCUUCAUCUGAGGCCUCUCUCUUGGACUUGUAGAUGGCUGUCUUCCCCUUGUGUCUUCACAUGGUCCUCCCUCUAUGAGUGUAUGUCCAUGUGCUUAUGUGUGUGCUAAUCUCUUCAUAGAAGGACACCAGUCGUAUUGGAAGAGGGGCUACACAUAUGACCUCAUUUUACCCCAAUUCCCUCUCCAAAGGACCUAUCUCCAAACACAGUCACAGUCUGAGGUACUGGGUGUGAGAUCAUAUGAAUUUUUCAGGGACACAAAUUUGGCCCAUAACAGAGAGAUAAAUAAUAAACAAGUAAACAAAUAAGGAAUAAAUGGAAUAACAUGAAGCAGACUUGUGUGAGUGGAAUUGCUAUAGAGCGAAGAAUGCAAACACCACCUGGCUUUGAAAGACAGAGUGGACUGUCCCUGCAGGAGAGCAGCAAUGGAGGUGUCGCAAGAUGAGACAAGCUCUGUGUGUUUGAGACUGAGCAUGCACCAGUUGGAAGGCUUGGUUUGGGUCCCUGCAGCUUAGGGGCACAGUGCAAAAGUGUCUGAACCACUUCUAUCAAAAGGGCCCCUGGCUAGAGCUGCUGAGGGUGUCCAUGCCUCCAGGAGAGUCUGCCUCUGGGAAGUGGCCGGCUUAGAUGGUGUCCUCAGACAGACUGGGGGUGCCUCCCAUCCAUUCCCAAGAGGAGCUCAGCACGGCAGGGCUGAAAGAAGGAAGGGCAUGGCUGCAGCACUUGUUCCUGAUGAUGGAUGCUCCAAAGAUCCAGGACCCUGAGUGAGAACAAUGUGGAACAGAGUCCCUCACCAAUCCAGAAUGAAGUGGAAAUUGGAAGACCUGGAGCCCAUUAGAGGACAAUUCUUUUGCCUCCAAGGGUUGUAACUUUUCCCCAGCAGAUACUGGACUCCAUCGUGCAGACAACCUUCUUUAGUGAGAAAAUGCACAACUGACUUCCAAUCAGCUAACAUUUCUUCCCUGCUUGAGUCAUGACUGAGUUAUUUGAGAGAAAACUUCUUUCUUUUCUAUAGUUAUUUUGCUUAAAAUCAUCAUCAAAGACUAUGUUUUGUUUUUUUUCUACUCUCUUUGAAAGUAUGGACACUUACGUUGAGUGUUUGGUGCUAAGUUAGAUAGCCACAUUCCUAUUUUUUUCAAAUCUUCUUUCCUUAUUUCUUUCUCUUUAUUCCAAACCUUGUCAGAGUUGCUACAAAAUUAAUUGAACUCUCAGUUAAGUAGAGCUAAUAUUAAUCUAGUUCUUACCAUUUUAGGAUAUUCGUUAAAGGAAUUAAGUACAUUUGGGAAGGAGUUUUAUUUAACCUGAAAAUGGCUUGAAAAUUACAUCCUAUUAUUGUUGUGUUAUUGUAUGUUUUUCCAACCAGUAUGGUUUCUGACUUUCAACACAUUUUAUGUGAAAUGUUUUGCAUGGAACUAAUUAUUCUCAACAACAAAUUCCUAAUCCAGUAUCAGCCAUUCACUGGGUACCUAAGCAAGAAGGUUUUAUGCUCUCUAAAACUAAAAUUGCAUCGAAUCUACCUUUUCUCAUUAGGGCAGAGUUUAAAAAAUGAACAUAAAGAUGUGUUCAAAGAAAAGCUCAUUUAAAAUAAAUAUUUUGUGCAAAAUGCUUAUUUUGUGUACAUUUGAUCAGAUUGUUGGAGAAAUUAUAUCCCUUCCUCAGGGCCUCUGUAGUAGCCAAGAUGGUUUACUUCAUUUAUCAGUAUUCAAAUCUGACAUUUGGAGGCUGAGCAUUUAGAGAGAAAUACCCAUGGCCUGGAUUUCACAUCUCUCCCAGCCAAUGAAGCCAGGUUUAAAAAAAUGGAAAAAGAAAAACAAGAAAAAUGUUUAGUAGCUAGCAUUAAAUCAAGUUUUACCUGAUGGACUUGAAAGGAUAGUUUUAAUAAAGUAAAGGUCAGAGAAUGCAUAUAAUUCUCUUCCUCCUUCUUUUUGUUAAUUGUUUGAACUUUUUACUCUGUAAAAACAUUUCAGAUGGGCCGGGCAUGGUGGCUCACACCUGUAAUCCCAGCACUUUGGGAGGCCAAAGCGGGCGGAUCACGAGGUCAAGAGUUCGAGACCAGCCUGGCCAACAUGGUGAAACCCUGUC